CAGUCGUAGAUGCUCAAAUUAAACGAUGUGGUCAAAGUAUGUGCAAAGAAAUCCCUGGAAGCCAAAAGCUUAAGCUUCAGAUAUAAAAGAAGUCUCACCCCAAAUCUUCUGUUUACAAGAGGAAAGACAAUGAGAAGAAAGUUGGGUUCCAAGAUGUGGGAAGCUAAAACUGAACUGAGAGACUCCAAGAGGACAGAAAUCAUAUUUUACCCCUUCAAAAACCCAAUUGGACCACCUGCUCCUGUGUGCGUGAGGAAACUGGGUUUUUGGUUCAUAUCUCCUGACCUGCAAUACAGCCUCACAAGACUAUAUGGCACUUUCCAA